GGGGAUAUUGCACAAUGGGGGAAAACCUGAUGCAGCCACGCCGCGUGUGGGAAGAAGGUUUUCGGAUUGUAAACCACUGUUCUUGGUGAAGAUAAUGACGGUAACCAAGGAGAAAGCUCCGGCUAACUAAGUGACAGAAGCCGCGGUAAUACGUAGGGAGCAAGCGUUGUCCGGAUUUACUGGGUGUAAAGGGUGCGUAGGCGGCUAGGCAAGUCAGACGUGAAAACCAUGGGCUCAACCUGUGGACUGCGUUUGAAACUGUUUAGCUUGAGUGAAGUAGAGGUAGGCGGAAUUCCCGGUGUAGCGGUGAAAUGCGUAGAGAUCGGGAGGAACACCAGUGGCGAAGGCGGCCUACUGGGCUUUAACUGACGCUGGGGCACGAAAGCAUGGGUAGCAAACA
rnacentral:rRNA from 1 species